rnacentral:rRNA from 1 species
UACGUAGGGGGCGAGCGUUGUCCGGAAUCAUUGGGCGUAAAGCGCGUGUAGGCGGCCGAACAAGUCCGAUGUGAAAGCUCGGGGCUCAACCCCGAGUCCGCAUUGGAAACUGUGCGGCUAGAGUCCGGAAGAGGAGACUGGAAUUCCUGGUGUAGCGGUGAAAUGCGCAGAUAUCAGGAAGAACACCGGUGGCGAAGGCGGGUCUCUGGGACGGUACUGACGCUGAGACGCGAAAACGUGGGGAGCAAACAGG